rnacentral:rRNA from 1 species
UACGUAGGGUGCGAGCGUUGCCCGGAUUUAUUGGGCGUAAAGGGCGCGUAGGCGGCUCUGCACGUCCGUUGUGAAAUCGCCCGGCUCAACUGGGCGGGGUCAGCGGAUACGGCGGAGCUUGAGCAAGCUAGGGGGCAAUGGAAUUCCCGGUGUAGUGGUGAAAUGCGUAGAUAUCGCUUGGAACGCCAACGGUGAAAACAGGUUGCUGGGGGUGUGCUGACGCUGAGACACGAAAGCCAGGGGAGCGAACGGG